AGCAACACGGAAAAGCGCCAGCAGUUUUCCCCAAUGCUCCACGUCAAAGCCUACUUUGUUUUUUGAAGCAGCCAUGCAAUUAGCUGCAAUUUCGUUCCUCCUAAUGCUUUAUUUGACACUCGACAGCGCACCACACAAGGUGAGAGCGCAAAGUGCAGACGGAGCCUGCAUGGACCAGAUGGGAUUGAAACCAGAGCAACAAGAAAAGUUGAAAUCGUUGAAAAAAUACUACUGCAUAUCGCAAUGCAUGGGCGGGUUUGGGGGCGAAGUGGACUUUUGCAAGAGCGACGGAAUCUGCCUGGAGCAGCCGUCGGCGCCGUCAGGGUACUCCGCAGCGAUGAACAUGCCCCGCGCAUAAUCAGUUUUAAUCAAAGAACUUGAAAUUGAAAUUUAAAUUGAGAGAAAUAUAAAUUGGCACUGAAAAGUAUUUAAAAAAUUUCAAAAAAGAAUUUGAUUUUUUUUUUUUUUUUUUUUGUGAGAA